rnacentral:rRNA from 1 species
UACAGAGGGGGCAAGCGUUGUUCGGAAUUACUGGGCGUAAAGGGCGCGUAGGCGGCCUGCUAAGUCGAACGUGAAAUCCCCGGGCUCAACCCGGGAACUGCGUCCGAUACUGGCAGGCUUGAAUUCGGGAGAGGGAUGCGGAAUUCUAGGUGUAGCGGUGAAAUGCGUAGAUAUCUGGAGGAACACCGGUGGCGAAGGCGGCAUCCUGGACCGAAAUUGACGCUGAGGCGCGAAAGCCAGGGGAGCAAACGGGG